rnacentral:rRNA from 1 species
UACGAAGGGGGCUAGCGUUGCUCGGAAUCACUGGGCGUAAAGCGCACGUAGGCGGAUUGUUAAGUCAGGGGUGAAAUCCUGGAGCUCAACUCCAGAACUGCCUUUGAUACUGGCGAUCUUGAGUCCGGGAGAGGUGAGUGGAACUGCGAGUGUAGAGGUGAAAUUCGUAGAUAUUCGCAAGACCGCCGGUGGCGACGGCGGCUCACUGGCCCGGUACUGACGCUGAGGUGCGAAAGCGUGGGGAGCAAACAGG